CAGAAGUGCGAAUGCUGACAUGAGUAACGAUAAUGGGGGUGAAAAACCUCCACGCCAAAAGACCAAGGGUUCCUGUCCAACGUUAAUCGGGGCAGGGUGAGUCGACCCCUAAGGCGAGGCCGAGAGGCGUAGUCGAUGGGAAAUUGGUUAAUAUUCCAAUACUUCUAUGUAAUGCGAUGAGAGGACGGAGAAGGUUAAGUCAGCCUGGCGUUGGUUGUCCAGGUGGAAGGUUGUAGGCAUGUAUCUUAGGCAAAUCCGGGGUACUCUAUGCUGAGAACUGAUA
rnacentral:rRNA from 11 species